rnacentral:rRNA from 1 species
AUUGAACGCUGGCGGCAUGCUUUACACAUGCAAGUCGAACGGUAACAGGCCUUCGGGUGCUGACGAGUGGCGCACGGGUGCGUAAUGCAUCGGAACGUGCCCAGAGGUGGGGGAUAACGCAGCGAAAGCUGUGCUAAUACCGCAUGUGAUCUGAGGAUGAAAGCGGGGGACCAGGCAGCAAUGUUUGGCCUCGCGCCUUUGGAGCGGCCGAUGUCAGAUUAGGUAGUUGGUGGGGUAAAGGCCUACCAAGCCGACGAUCUGUAGCUGGUCUGAGAGGACGACCAGCCGCACUGGGACUGAGACACGGCCCAGACUCCUACGGGAGGCAGCAGUGGGGAAUUUUGGACAAUGGGCGCAAGCCUGAUCCAGCAAUGCCGCGUGCGGGAAGAAGGCCUUCGGGUUGUAAACCGCUUUUGUACGGAACGAAAAGGCUCUGGCUAAUACCUGGGGCUGAUGACGGUACCGGAAGAAUAAGCACCGGCUAACUACGUG